UGCCCGGGACCCAGUUCAAGUAAUUCAGGAUAGGUUGUGGUGCUGGCCAGCCUGUUCUCCAUUACUUGGCUCGGGGGCCGGUGCC
ensembl:miRNA Mir26b microRNA mir-26b